rnacentral:rRNA from 1 species
GGGGCCAUCCCGGCUUACCAACCCGAUGCAAACUGCGAAUACCGGAGAAUGUUAUCACGGGAGACACACGGCGGGUGCUAACGUCCGUCGUGAAGAGGGAAACAACCCAGACCGCCAGCUAAGGUCCCAAAGUCAUGGUUAAGUGGGAAACGAUGUGGGAAGGCCCAGACAGCCAGGAUGUUGGCUUAGAAGCAGCCAUCAUUUAAAGAAAGCGUAAUAGCUCACUGGUCGAGUCGGCCUGCGCGGAAGAUGUAACGGGGCUAAACCAUGCACCGAAGCUGCGGCAGCGACACUGUGUGUUGUUGGGUAGGGGAGCGUUCUGUAAGCCUGUGAAGGUGUGUCGUGAGGCAUGCUGGAGGUAUCAGAAGUGCGAAUGCUGACAUAAGUAACGAUAAAGCGGGUGAAAAGCCCGCUCGCCGGAAGACCAAGGGUUCCUGUCCAACGUUAAUCGGGGCAGGGUGAGUCGACCCCUAAGGCGAGGCCGAAAGGCGUAGUCGAUGGGAAACGGGUUAAUAUUCCCGUACUUGGUGUUACUGCGAAGGGGGGACGGAGAAGGCUAUGUUGGCCGGGCGACGGUUGUCCCGGUUUAAGCGUGUAGGUGUGUGUUCCAGGUAAAUCCGGUUCACUUUAACACUGAGGCGUGACGACGAGGCACUACGGUGCUGAAGCAACAAAUGCCCUGCUUCCAGGAAAAGCCUCUAAGCAUCAGGUAACAUCAAAUCGUACCCCAAACCGACACAGGUGGUCAGGUAGAGAAUACCAAGGCGCUUGAGAGAACUCGGGUGAAGGAACUAGGCAAAAUGGUGCCGUAACUUCGGGAGAAGGCACGCUGACACGUAGGUGAAGUGAUUUACUCAUGGAGCUGAAGUCAGUCGAAGAUACCAGCUGGCUGCAACUGUUUAUUAAAAACACAGCACUGUGCAAACACGAAAGUGGACGUAUACGGUGUGACGCCUGCCCGGUGCCGGAAGGUUAAUUGAUGGGGUCAGCGCAAGCGAAGCUCCUGAUCGAAGCCCCGGUAAACGGCGGCCGUAACUAUAACGGUCCUAAGGUAGCGAAAUUCCUUGUCGGGUAAGUUCCGACCUGCACGAAUGGCGUAAUGAUGGCCAGGCUGUCUCCACCCGAGACUCAGUGAAAUUGAACUCGCUGUGAAGAUGCAGUGUACCCGCGGCAAGACGGAAAGACCCCGUGAACCUUUACUAUAGCUUGACACUGAACAUUGAGCCUUGAUGUGUAGGAUAGGUGGGAGGCUUUGAAGUGUGGACGCCAGUCUGCAUGGAGCCGACCUUGAAAUACCACCCUUUAAUGUUUGAUGUUCUAACGUGGACCCGUUACCCGGGUUGCGGACAGUGUCUGGUGGGUAGUUUGACUGGGGCGGUCUCCUCC